UACGAAGGGGGCUAGCGUUGCUCGGAAUCACUGGGCGUAAAGGGUGCGUAGGCGGGUCUUUAAGUCAGGGGUGAAAUCCUGGAGCUCAACUCCAGAACUGCCUUUGAUACUGAAGAUCUUGAGUUCGGGAGAGGUGAGUGGAACGGCGAGUGUAGAGGUGAAAUUCGUAGAUAUUCGCAAGAACACCAGUGGCGAAGGCGGCUCACUGGCCCGAUACUGACGCUGAGGCACGAAAGCGUGGGGAGCAAACAGG
rnacentral:rRNA from 1 species